rnacentral:lncRNA from 1 species
AUCCAAUCACAUGAUCACGUCGAUGUUUCGCGUCUCUCCUCGUGUGGUCUGUAUUUCAAAAUAAGAGCCGUGACCAGAAGUUGACUCCAAAAAUAUUAAAAAUAUUAUUUAAAAUGAGGAACGCUUCACGAAUUUGCGUGUCAUCCUUGCGCCAUCCCUAAACCGAUGCUCCCUUUCCGGUUGUCCUACAUGGCUUGCAUCCUAAUUGGUCUGUCCUACUUGUCAGCUAAACGAUGUAAUUGGCUAGUUUAGUUGGACACCGCGAAAAGGAGGCGUCAGUUUGAUUCUACUUCACUGCCAUUUCGUUUUUACAGACUCAGUCUUUGUCGACAUUUCUUUCUUUACAGCGAUAAACUUUAUUGUGAGUAGCGGACUUUUCACGAAGAUCAUGGACCAUCGCCCUUUGUUCCGUGUGCAGCCUUCGUCCACUGAGCUCACUCUCAGGCCCUCACCAGAAGCACUGACGGUGGCCCAGGCCUAUCAUGGGUCUGAGGCAUGGAAGGUGAAGGUGCCUCAAAAGGUGAAGGAGGAGGCGCAAGCUCGCACUCUGCAAGGAGGAGGAGAUCCCCACUGCUCCCAGCUGCUUCUCAGCCAAUAUGAGAUCCAGUUUGGGCAGUACCGGGGACAGACCUUCAAGUGGCUCCUGAGUCACGACGUGGGCUACGCUGUGUCCCUGCUGGCCUCACACCAGAAGGAGCGGGAGAGUGGUGACACAUCCAGCUCACCACUUAUGGCCAACAAGGUGCUGUGGAGUACAACACAGAAAUAUCUCACUCAUCCUAGUACAGUAAAAGUAGAGCCAUCAUUAGAACUAUUAUACGGAUCCCAACUCACACAGCUCAAUCAGAGCAAUCAUCAAGAAAUUCCUAUUUCUGUCAUAAUACACAUAUUCUGUUCUCCCGCUACACAGGAUGCCCUCACCUCCUACAGCAAGCUGUUCCCAGAGGUGAUGUCAGCCGUGGAGGGACGCCGUGCCACGGAGGGUUCCAAGUCUGUCCGGAGCCAAGACAAGAAGUUGGUGGAGUUCGGCCCCCACGGAGCCAUGACCUACGCCUCCAUGUACGAGGCCACGGGGAAAGAGGUUGAGACCUACGUGCAGUGGCUGAGGAAGAAGAAGUGCAUCCCAGGCAGCAACCUGCAUGCUUUAAAGACCUACAUACUGGGCCGGGACCAGGAGAAGAACCAGCAUCCCUCCCAGCAGCCCCAGUGCCCACCAUCUGACAGUAGGUGUUUCUUUGUCUUUUCUGUGUGA